GGUCUGGUGGUCUAGAGGUAUGAUUCUCGCUUAGGGUACACCCUAUAGCUCAAAUUGCGAGAGGUCCCGGGUUCAAUUCCCGGCCAGACCC